rnacentral:rRNA from 1 species
GGUUAAGCGACUAAGCGUACACGGUGGAUGCCCUGGCAGUCAGAGGCGAUGAAGGACGUGCUAAUCUGCGAUAAGCGUCGGUGAGGUGAUAUGAACCGUUAUAACCGGCGAUUUCCGAAUGGGGAAACCCAGUGUGUUUCGACACACUAUCAUUAACUGAAUCCAUAGGUUAAUGAGGCGAACCG